rnacentral:lncRNA from 1 species
AAUCUAAUCAUAUUUUCUGCCUCAAGGGACUGAGCAGCUCCCAAUAAGAUCUUCCUGAGUGUGUCUCUGCAGCAGCUGGUGGGAGUGACUUGACUGGUGAGACUGAGACAGCCUGGGGCUCAGAGCAGAUGGUAGUCUGAAAGGGACAGAAUGAGAGAGGGAGCUGGAGAAAGAAAUGAAUAAACACGAAUGCAUCUGGAGAAUGAGGCAUCUUGGAAUCUGGAAAGUGAGGCAUCCUGGAAGAGAGAUGAAGAUAGAGUCUCACUCUGUUGCUCAGGCUGGAGUGCAAUGGUGUGAUCUCGGCUCAUUGCAACCUCCGCCUCCCAGGUUCAAGUGAUUCUCCUGCCUCAGCCUCCUGAGUGGCUGGGAUUACAGGUUCAAGCUCCAAGAUGUCCAGAAGCAAACGCAAAGAGGAAGUAAUGAAAUGGAUAUAUGCAAAACUUGUCAAGAUUCUCAUUUGGCUACAGCAAAUAUUUGGGGAGUUGGAAGUUUAGUUGUGUUAAUGAUAUGCUACACCUUCUAUACCUGUAAUGUGCCAAAAAUAACUGAACGCUUUACAUUUCUCUUUAAAUCCAGUAAUAAUCCAUUAAAGAGAUAAAGGUGCCAAUGUGCAGGCAAGUAAACCACAUUGCCAAGUAUACAAGCUAAUACAUUUCCCAGGAUGGAUUUAGAGUUUUCUAUUUCAAGCAAAAUUUACAGAAAGUUAAAUGCACAAAUCUUCAGUGCACAAUUACACGAGUUUAGCAACUAUAUACAUCCAUGUAAACGACACUAUCAUGAUGAAGAACAUUUUUAUCACCCAGGAAAUUACUUCAUGUCCCCUUCCAGUCAAUCCACUCACCACAGGAAACAACUAUGGUUCUGAUUUUUAUCAUUAUGUACUAGAACUUCACAUCUUAGGAAAUCAUAUAGUGCUUUCUCAUUUGUUUCUUGCUAGUUUAGGCAGUGUCAUUUUUUUGAAAUCCAUUCAUAUUGUUCCAUGUUAUCAGUAAUUUGUUACCUUGAUGUAGCUGAGGAGUAUUCCAUUAUAUGAAUAUACCACAACUUAUGUACCCAUUGUACUCUUGACAUUGGCUAUUGCUAGUAAAGCUUUUGGCUAUUUACUAGUAAAGCUGCUAUAAACAUGCUCAAGUCUUGUUGUAGAAACAUUUUCAUUUCUCGUAGGUAAAUAGUUAGGGAUGGAAUUUCUGAGUCACAACAGAGGUAUAUGCUUAACUUUAUGAAAAUCAUCAAGCUGUUUUCCAAACUGGAUGCUCCAUUACCUACUUCUCUGAGUAAGAUCUAGGAGUUCCACUUACUCCACAUCUUCACCAACAUUCGUUGUUGCCACAACGAAGUGGUGCAAUAGUUUAUUUUUAUUUUCGUUUACAUUUCUCUGAUGACUAAUGAUAUCAAGCACAUUUUCAUGUGCAAUUCACCAUUUUUUUUAAAUGUCCAAAACUUUCAUUCAGUUGUAAAAAAAACAACAGUAUCUUUUUAUUAAUGGUUUGCUCUUGUUCUGGGUGAAGUUCAUUAUCGAAUAUAUAUUGCUAAUAUUUUUUCCCACAUUACAGCUAAACUUUUAAUUUUCUUUUGAUGAGCACAGAAUUCUUGUUGUUUUAUUUUGGUGAAAUCCAAUUCAUUGCUUUUUUGCAGCUAGUGUUUUUUCUUUCAAUCUCUAUAAAAUCUUGCCUAGCCUAAGAUCAUAAUAUAGUCUUCUGUGUUUUUUUCCUUCACAAAACCUUUACAGCUUUAGCUUUUAUAAUUGGAUCUAUAAUUUAUCUACAUUAAUUUUGUGAAUAUUGUGAAUUGUGGCUAAGAUUCAUUAUUUCCAUGGUUAUCCAGUUAUUCCAGCACUGUUUGUUCAAAAAGACUUUCCACUGAAGUGUCUUUGAGCUUUUAUUGAAAUUAACUGACUAUGUGUGUAUUGAUUUAUUUCUGAGCUUUACUUUGUCCCAGUGAUCAGCUUAUAUACCCUUAUCCUAAUGCAAUACUGUCUUGAUUACUGUGGCUUGCUGCAGGUCUUGAUAUCAAGUAAUAUAAUUCAUCUGAAUUUGUUCUUUUUCAAGAUAGCUUUGGAAGUUCUUUAUUUCUUGUGUUUUCAUAUAAAUUUUAGAAUAAAGUUGUCUAUUUCCACCAAAAAAAUGCAAAUUUCAUUUAGUUUGUAAUUAGGUCUAAUCAAACCAUAUUAAAUCUUCCAGUUCAUU